UGGAAAUGAUGAUUGAUAUAUCUGAGAAUUUCUGAUGAGAUAGUUUCUCUGGAUAGUCAAGUACUGACCCAG